rfam:Culex pipiens quinquefasciatus supercont3.176 genomic scaffold, whole genome shotgun sequence.
GCGGCCGUGGCUGACUGGCUACGGUGUUCGCUUUGUAAGCGAAUGAUUCUGGGUUCGAUGCCCAUCUGCUCCC